rnacentral:lncRNA from 1 species
CUUUGUCCUUUGUCAGGAACCUGCUGGUCUAUGGGCAACAUGGCAGCAGGGCAGGCCGCUGAGCUGGCCUGUGUUUUGAGGUGAAAGAAUCCAUAAUUCCAUCUCCGGGGAACAGGGCUUGUUGAGGGGUCAGCAGGCCUUAUGGAACAGUGGCACUGUGAUCAGGAAGGGGAAUUCAGGCAUCUGCUGGAGACCAGCAUUGCAGAAUGGAGACUUAGGAAAUGGCCAGAUGGCUAGGAGUUGGGACCUUGGAGUGUCAGAUGCUAGGUGUUGGAUAUUGAAGUUUGACCUUGGGGCAGAAGAGAAAUUUUGCUGAUGUUCAAGCAGGGAAUAUUAUAAACAUUUUCCAUCUCCACAAACCCUGCUGCCCAUUGUUGUCAGUGGCUCCUCUUUUGGGUAAAAAUAACAGGUAUGUUGAUUUCCAG